UACGUAGGGGGCAAGCGUUGUCCGGAAUCAUUGGGCGUAAAGAGCGUGUAGGCGGCCCGAUAAGUCCGCCGUGAAAGUCCAGGGCUCAACCCUGGAAUGCCGGUGGAAACUGUCGGGCUGGAGUCCGGAAGAGGCGGAGUGGAAUUCCUGGUGUAGCGGUGAAAUGCGCAGAUAUCAGGAGGAACACCAAUGGCGAAGGCAGCUCGCUGGGACGGUACUGACGCUGGAGACGCGAAAGCGUGGGGAGCAAACAGG
rnacentral:rRNA from 1 species